UACGAAGGGGGCGAGCGUUGUUCGGAAUCACUGGGCGUAAAGGGCGCGUAGGCGGCCCUCUUUGUCGCGUGUGAAAGCCCCGGGCUCAACCUGGGAACGGCGCGCGAAACGGGGGGGGCUGGAGUUCGGGAGAGGAGAGUGGAAUUCCCAGUGUAGAGGUGAAAUUCGUAGAUAUUCGGAAGAACACCAGUGGCGAAGGCGGCUCACUGGACCGGUAUUGACGCUGAGGUGACGAAAGCGUGGGGAGCAAACAGG
rnacentral:rRNA from 1 species